rnacentral:rRNA from 1 species
GAUGAACGCUGGCGGCGUGCCUAACACAUGCAAGUCGAGCGAUUCUCUUCGGAGAAGAGCGGCGGACGGGUGAGUAACGCGUGGGUAACCUGCCCUGUACACACGGAUAACAUACCGAAAGGUAUGCUAAUACGAGAUAAUAUGCUUUUAUCGCAUGGUAGAAGUAUCAAAGCUCCGGCGGUACAGGAUGGACCCGCGUCUGAUUAGCUAGUUGGUAAGGUAACGGCUUACCAAGGCGACGAUCAGUAGCCGACCUGAGAGGGUGAUCGGCCACAUUGGAACUGAGACACGGUCCAAACUCCUACGGGAGGCAGCAGUGGGGAAUAUUGCACAAUGGGCGAAAGCCUGAUGCAGCAACGCCGCGUGAGCGAUGAAGGCCUUCGGGUCGUAAAGCUCUGUCCUCAAGGAAGAUAAUGACGGUACUUGAGGAGGAAGCCCCGGCUAACUACGUGCCAGCCGCCGCCGUAACAC